CAGGGAGAAUAUAUAAUAAAAUAUUAUAUAAAUGUUAGUAUUAUACAAUUAGACAUAAUACAUAAAUUAAAUUAACAUCAAUAUACAUUGAUUCAGUCAUUAAUAAUGGAAAAAAUUGUCUGCUUACAAAUCGGGAAAAAUAACGGAUCUACACCGUAUCGUUUUGUAAUUAUUAUGUAUGUUUACUUUCUCACAGGUUACCUGUGUAUUGGAGUUACUUUCAUAUUCUUUUAUGUUUUGAAGGAUUUAUUUUGUCUAAGCUUAUUUGCUUGACUAUGCUAGUGUAAAACAUAACUAGGUAAGUUUAUAAAAUUAUUUUAAAUUCAAAUCAAAAGGUUAUUUGCUAUGCGGUUUAUUUUGGCCCUCGUGGUAAAUAUUUAUACAAGGCCAAGGGAAGUUAGCAUAUGUUUAUUUGUUAAAAACAAACUAUACCUUUACUUACAGGUUACAAUAUGCUGAUGUCUUUAAUAACAUAUUCCCGGUUUCUAUAUUUCUUAUCGAAUUUAAUCUUAUAAUGUCAUAUAUUUCCUUUUUGAAGAUUUUAAAGAUUUCUAUCUUUGUUUCUUUUUUGUUUGAAACAAAAUGUGCCUUAUAUAUGGAGAAGAAUAUAACUGUUAUCAGGGUGUUUAUAUCAAAAUAUUUUACAUCUGCUAUUUUAUAGCCAGUUAUUAAAUUUUCUAGCCUUAAAAUAUGUCUAUCUAUUUGAAGAUAAAGUAAUAACUUGUAUAUUUCUUGCCAGUAAGUAUUAUUAUAAGGGCAUGUAAUAAAAAAAUGUUUAUAAUUGUCAAUUUCUUUGCAAAAAUUGCAAGAAUUGUUUUCUAAUACUUUCCACUGUGCUAAUAAGUCGUUGCAUGGAAGAAUGAAGUUGAGUAAUUUCCAUUUAAACAUUUUAAAUUUGUUGUUUUCUAGGUAAUUAAAUAUAAAAUUAAGAGUGCUUUUAAAUUUCAUAUUUAAAUUUUCUUCAAAAAUUCUUUCCCACUUCAGAAUACCUACAGGUUUUUCUUGCUUAUAAGGGGCAAUUAGUAUUGAAUAUAUUUCUUUAUUACCCAUUUCUGGAUAGAUAUUAUGAUUGAGUAGUAUUUGCAGAUUUUUUGUUUUCUUUAUAUUUACUUUUGUUUUAAAUGAGCUUUCUUGCUUUAAAAUAUUCUGCCAAUGUUUUGGAAUAGCUUUCUUUAAUAAUGAUAAUUCUCUAAUCCAAUCCCGUUUAUCUUUUAAUUUAAGUAAUAUUUUAUUUUCUGAUAUAUGACCUCUUUCAUCAAGUAUGUCAUUUACAUACAGAAUAUUAUGUUCAAUCCAUUUAGUAAAUAAUAAGUGUUUUCCUUUUGUUUGUAUGUUAUGAUUGCCCCAUAAAAUCUGCUUUCUUAUGUCUAGAAACGAUUGUGGGAUCUUUGUCUGUCCUCCCUUAACAUUAAUCCAAGUUUUAAUCAAUUGCUGAUAGAACUCGGGAAGGGAUUUAAAUAUUUUUUUGUCUAACAUAUUAACAUUUUUAAUAUUCAUUCGAAAUAUCAAGAGGUUUUUACCAAAUUUGUUUAAGUAAGCUUGGGGUAUGAUUGACCAAUUAUCACCAGAAUUUUGUUUAAGUUUUAAAAUCCACCGUAAUUGAAGAGCUUUGAGAUAUAAGUCUAUGUCGAUCAUUUUUAACCCACCUUCUAGAUAGUUUUUACAAAGAGUUGCACGUUUAACUUUAUCUUUUUUCCCAUUCCAUAUGAAAUUAUAUACUAGAGUUUUAAACUUUUGUAUUAUUUCCUUUGAUAUGUACAUAUUUGAUGCGAUAUAAGUUAAAUUUGGAAGAAUUAGUGAUUUUACUACUAUUAUUUUACCUAUUAAUGUUAAAUUUCUUUUCAUCCAGUUUGAUAUAAUUUUUUCACAUUUUUUAAGCUGUUUAUCAGUGUUUAGUUUUUGACAGUCUUGAUUGUUAUAACCAAAGUAAAAGCCAAGACUUUUAAUAUUAUCUGUUUUCCAAUUUAUGUUUUCAAAUUUGUCUCUGCUAUGUUUAAGUUUUUCCCAACCAAAAUCCCUCUGUUUUAUUUCUGUUUAGUUGUAAUCCUGAUAAACUUCCAAAAGUUUCAAUUAUAUUCAUUGCUAAACUAACAUCUUUUGGUGAUUUAAGAAAUAGUGUUGUAUCAUCUGCAAGUUGACAUAUUUUAAGUGAGCAAUUUCUACCAUCUAGUUUCACCUCUAAACCUUUGAGAUUAUUAUCUUCUCUUAGUUUAAUUGCCAUAAUUUCAACUACUAAUACAAAGGCUAACGAAGAAAUUGGACAUCCUUGUCGAAUUCCACGAAAAAUGUUAAAACUGCUGGACACCCAACCAUUGUUGAGUAUACAACCUUUUAUGUCUGUGUACAUUGUUUGAAUCCAUCUUAUAAAACUACUUUUAAAGCCAAAUUUUACCAAGGUUUCUGACAUAAAGUUCCAUUCAAGGGAGUCAAAUGCCUUAGAGAAAUCAACAAAAAGUAUAGCACCAUCUACUUUAAAGUUCUCUGAGUAAUCAAUAAUAUCUUUUGCCUAAUAUUGAAGCCUAUGUAUCUAUUUUUUUAUAUAACCUUUUUGAUCAGUAUGAAUUAUUUUUGGUAAUACUUGUUUUAAUCUUUGAGCAAGUGCAUAAGCCAACAAUUUUACAUCAUAAUUUAACAGAGUUAUUGGACGAUAAUUAUUUAAAGAAAGUGGAUCUUCUUUUUUAUAUAUUAAUGAUAUUGCUCCAAUUUUUUGUGAAGUUGAUAAUUCUCCUUUUUUAUAGCAAAAAUUAAAUACUGAUACAAUUAAAUCUUUUAUUUUUUCCCAAAAUUUUCUGUAAAAUUCAACAUUAAGUCCAUCUAGACCUGGGGCUUUAUUUAGUUUCAUUUUGAAUAUUGCAUCUGUGCAUUCCUGCACUGUUAUUUUUCCUUCACAUAAAUCACUUUCACUAUCACUUAAUUUUGGACAUUUUUUAAUAUUGUUAAAGUACUUUUUAGUAUCUUCCACAUCAGGCUUAGUUGAGGAAUAUAAUGUUUUAUAAUAGUUAACUUCAAGGUUAAGUAUUUUUUCUUGAUCAGUAAUUAUAUUAUUGUUUACAUCAUACAAUCUAGUAAUGGUUUUUUUUGCACUGCCUGGCUUUUUCAAGACCUAAGAAGUAAGAAGUAUUUUUUCUCCUUCUUCAAUCCAUUUCACCCUUGAUCUUAUUUGAUUGCCUUUAAUUUUUUCAUUAUAUAGAUUUCCUAACUCUUGUUCUACUUUCUCUAUUUUUUCAAUCAGGGAGGUAUUUGUUUCAUAAUCAUUAACUCUGAUGUUAGUUGUAUGAAUUUCAUUAUUAAGUUGCUUAAGUUGAUUUUCUAACACAUUGAUUGAAUCUUUUUUGUUGAGGGCUUUUAAUUUACAGAAUUGAAUUGUACAAUCUCGAACCUCUAUUUUAAAAGUGUCCCAUAAAGUAGCUAGAUUUUUGAAUCAUUUGCUUUAAUUUUAUAGUUGUUAAUUAGAUUGUAUAUUAUUUUUAGGUAGAUUUCAUCGUUUAAAACGCUACUAUUUAAUUUCCAGUAUCCACGUCCUUUAUUAUUUCUUGAUAUUUGUAAUUUUAAAGAUACACUAUUAUGGUCAGUGUAUUGAAUAACAAUUGGUCUAAUAUCACAAGAGGAGCAAUUUUUUUUAAUUUCAGUACUAACAAGGAAGUAAUCAAUUCUAGUGGCUUCUGUUUUAUUUCUUUUACACCAUGUGAAGUGAGUUUUAUCUCUGUUUUUUUCACGCCAUAUAUCUGUUAAUUUUAAAGAUUUAAUUAAAGUUUUAAGUCCGCAGACUGGUUUAUCAAAUUUUAUUCUUUUAUUUUUAUUUUUAGUAUCUUUUUCAGAUAAAAUAUCGUUAAAGUCUCCUCCUAUUAUUAGUUGUCCAAGACUAUAUUUAUCUAUAAAAGUUUUAACCGUUUUAAAAAAAGUGUUUCUUAGCUUAGUAUUAUUUGGUGCAUAAACGUUUGCAAUUGUAAGUAUGCUUUCGUCAAUUUCUAUAUUUACCAGAAGAAGUCUUCCAUCUUUAUCUUUAUAAAAGUCAAUAAAUUUGUAGUUAAGCCUACUUUUUAACCAUAUAGAUACCCCUCUAGCAUUGCUCUGACCAUUACUGAAGAAUAAUUCACCUUCAAACUCUUUUUUUAAAGAUUCUUCUAAGUUGUCAGUAAAGUGUGUUUCUUGUAUUAGGAGAAUAUCACAUUUUUGUUGUUUUGUCCAUUCAAUUAGUCUUUUUCUUUUUUCAGAUUGCUGUAAUCCCUUAGCAUUAACUGUACAGAUGUGAAGUUUUUGAUCAGCCAUAAUUGUUAAUGUAAAAGGUAAGUUUAUGAUUGGGGAACCCCCAUCUAUUUAUAGUAUCAAUUAUCGAUUUUAUUCUUUCUGUUACCAGUUCACGAGUAUUUACUUUAUUCAACAGGUGAAUAAUUAUCGGCAGUUUUUGCUGUACUUUUAGAUAUUACAUUCUUUAUACUUUCUACAAAGUGCACAUUGUUUUACUGUAAGAAGUGAUCCUACAUAAAAACAUAUUAAAUAGUGAUAAAAUUUAAUCACAAUAAUUAGAUACACAGUAUCAUUAAUGUUUAACUUUACGGUAUUAUGUAAAAGAAUAUUACACAAUGUUGUUUUCAAAUUGACAAUACAUACAGUUUUUACACAUGAUGACCUCGCCUUACGGGUCAUUAUUUGGGUCAACAACGUGACUUUGUUUACAAACUGAGCUGUGACAAACAUAUACCACACACAGUUUGUGAAGACAAUAAUUGAGAAAUAAAUUUUACUCAAUACAAAAAUAAUAUAAAUAUUACAAUAAUUAAUGUAGAGAAAAAUAUUUACAUGAAUAUAUUAUACAAAAGAUAUAUUUACAUAGUUUACAGUAGAUAAAGAUAAUGAGUUCUUUAUGUAAAUAUGUACAUUUUUUUUAUCAGUACUAUAUGUGUUUCUUUUGUCAGGUCUUAUUCUGUAAUGUUUUAUUAUUCUCAUGCUUCUUUGCUUUUAAUUUGCUAAAUUGUUUUUUAUAGCUGUUGAAUGCUAAAAAAAUUAUUAUUUUUUCCAGGAGAUAUAUGUAAUGGUUUGCAUUAUGAAGUGGAUUAUAUCUGUUUACCAAUUUGGACUCAAAGCUUUGCACAUAAUCUAGAUACGAAGUAUGAGCAUAUAUGGAGCUAUAAGUGUGAAUCUGUAUGGGAACAUCUGUUGUCAAUUUACUUAUAAAUUUUUGUGUGCAAAAGUGUGUCUGUUGCAUAUUUGUGUACAGAAUUAAUAAAAGAUAUGCGUGUUCAUUUUGUGAUCUAAGAAGAAGAAUUUUGAGGCACAUCUGGAUUAAUUGGAACUGUGGUGAGAAAAGUGCGAACUUUAUAUAAAAUAUGCAAUUCACCAAAGAUAUAUAUUGUGAAAUAUGAGUGUACCUAUGACUGCAUGUAUAUCGAGUGGUACUAAAUUCAACUCUACUGUGAAUGAGUUUUGUUACACAUUUCAUCAUGAUUAUACACAAAAUAAAUAUCACUGAACAUGUAUUACAGUAUAAUAAACUAGUUUUACAUUUAUUUGUUUUCAUAUAAAUGUUCUGUAAACUGUUUGUUGGUACGUAUACAGUACUGAUAAAUGCCAUUUGGUUUCAGUGGUUGUUAUUAAGUUGCCAAAGUUUUUGACCGUUUGGCUGUGGUAUCACCUUCAUUGUCAUGCAAAACAUGGGUCGGGGUAACUGGAGACCGCUCCACGUUUCUGUUGUUUUUUUGUUUAGCCGGAGUUGAUACAGACUCCUGUUGCUCCGAUACAAAUGAGGUAAUUUGAGUUUGUGUUGUUUUUCUCUCUUUCUUUUUUUCUUUUUUUCUUUCUUUUUUCUGCCUCCAGAGAUGUUACUGAUUGGGACAUAUCAAUGUCUUCUUCAUAUACACUCGUUGAUUCAUGUUCGCUAUUUGUAGAUGGAUCAUCUGUGUGAUUU
rnacentral:lncRNA from 1 species